AGCGAACGCUGGCGGCAGGCCUAACACAUGCAAGUCGAACGUACCCUUCGGGGUUAGUGGCGGACGGGUGAGUAACACGUGGGAACGUGCCUUUAGGUUCGGAAUAACUCAGGGAAACUUGUGCUAAUACCGAAUGUGCCCUUCGGGGGAAAGAUUUAUCGCCUUUAGAGCGGCCCGCGUCUGAUUAGCUAGUUGGUGAGGUAAUGGCUCACCAAGGCUACGAUCAGUAGCUGGUCUGAGAGGAUGACCAGCCACAUUGGGACUGAGACACGGCCCAAACUCCUACGGGAGGCAGCAGUGGGGAAUCUUGCGCAAUGGGCGGAAGCCUGACGCAGCCAUGCCGCGUGGAUGAUGAAGGUCUUAGGAUUGUAAAAUCCUUUCACCGGUGAAGAUAAUGACUGUAGCCGGAGAAGAAGCCCCGGCUAACUUCGUGCCAGCAGCCGCCGUAAGAC
rnacentral:rRNA from 1 species